AAAAAGGCAAACCCUGGGUUUCCGUGUCCAACGUUUGACUGUCCGUCUUAUAUGAAAUUUUUUUAUAAUUAGUAUUUUUAUUAUUGUUAGAUAAUAAAACAUGAUUAAUACUUAAUGCGUGACUUGUCUUUUUAAUUUUUUCAAAUAAGACGGACGGUCAAACGUUGGACACGUAAACCCAUGGUUUGUCUUUUU
rnacentral:pre_miRNA from 1 species